AUUGAACGCUGGCGGCAUGCCUUACACAUGCAAGUCGAACGGCAGCACGGGGCAACCUGGUGGCGAGUGGCGAACGGGUGAGUAAUGCAUCGGAACGUACCUUUCAGUGGGGGAUAACGUAGCGAAAGUUACGGUAAUACCGCAUAUUCGGUGAGCAGGAAAGCAGGGGAUCGCAAGACAUUGAGCUGAUUGAGCGGCCGAUGUCGGAUUAGCUAGUUGGUGAGGUAAAGGCUCACCAUGGCGACGAUCUGUAGCGGGUCUGAGAGGAUGAUCCGCCACACUGGAACUAAGACACGGUCCAGACUCCUACGGGAGGCAGCAGUGGGGAAUCUUGGACAAUGGGGGCAACCCUGAUCCAGCCAUGCCGCGUGAGUGAAGAAGGCCUUCGGGUUGUAAAGCUCUUUCGGCCGGGAAGAAAUCGCACGGGCUAAUACCCUGUGUGGAUGACGGUACCGGAAUAAGAAGCACCGGCUAACUACGUGCCAGCCGCCGCCGUAAUAC
rnacentral:rRNA from 1 species